GGGCGGUUAGCUCAGUGGUAAGAGCGCUUGCUUCACACGCAAGAGGUCACUGGUUCAAGUCCAGUACUGCCCACCA
rnacentral:tRNA from 1 species